GAGACUACAUUUCCCCAUCUCCCUUGUGGCUUGGAGUGGCCAAGUGACCAAGUUCUGGAAAUCAUUGUGAGUCAUUUCCACAUUGUGACACUGAAAGGGAAAGUUCAUGCUUUCCUUUGGCCCUUUUCCCCAUCUGCAGGCUAAGAGAUGCCAAAAGAUUAAGCAGCCACCUUGGACCCAGACAUGGCAGAGCUUCUUUACCAGCCCUGGACCACUUACCUCUACUCUGUUAACCUAAAAGAGAAACCAACUUCUAUCUUGUUAAACUACUUGUGUACAAUCUUGGGUCUUUUUCUUAUAGUACCUGCACCCUCCUUAAUAAAACCAUGCAGAGCUAAACUUGCAAAAUUUUAGAAGUACACACCGAGUCACUGGAACAUGAGUAGACAGACCAAUGGGACAAAAGAGAAAGUCCAUCAUAGAACCAAAUACAUACAGAAAAUUAGUACAAAAUCAAAUCAGUGGGGUAAAGAUGGACUUUAUUUUUUACAUGAAUAGUGUUGACACAACCAGGUAUCUAUACUAUAGAAAAAGAUAAAGUUCCAUCUCUUCCUCACACCAUACAGCAGGUUAAAACUCUAAGUGGAAUGAAGAUUUAAUGAAUUUACCCUUUGAGCCAACAUUUUCAUUUCUGCAAAUUUAUUCACGAUAAGGACAUAUCUGCACUUUAUGGAUAAUGUAUGUACAUUUUCUCAUUGUUUGUAAUAGCAAAAGACAGGAAAAAAACUUGUGUCUACCAAUAAGGGAUUAGAUUUUUUAAACUAUAGUAUAUAAUUGAAUGUUAUACUAUAUGAAGUUGUAAGAAAGAAUGAGAAAGCUCUGUAUUUUCAGGAUGUACUUAGGUGAAGAAAGCCAGAUGCAAAAUAGUGUAUAAGUACUAUGCUACCUUUUGUAUAAGAAAGGGGAGAAAUAAAAUAUAUAUUUAUUUUUGCUUGUAUCUGUAUAAAGAAACACUGAAAGGAUAUAUCAGAAACUAAUAAAAUGGUUAGCUAUGAGAGUGGAAAGAGUGGGGUAGAUGGGGACAGGAAUGGGUAUGGGAGUUCUAAAUCUAAGUAUUAUGUAAGUAAUAAUUAUUACUAUUAAGUAUUAAUAGACAGUGCGCAGGCGCGGCGGCGCGCCUCUGCGGGGCGCUGGGCUCACUGCGCACGCGCGGCCAUCAGCUUGGUCCCAGGUGGAGCUGUUUUAGCCGAGCUGGCGCCGCCGUGAGCCUCCGAGAUGAGCGCGGCAGAGGCUGACUGCUGGGCUUGGCUGCUGGUGCUCAGCUUCGUGUUUGGGUGCAAUGUAGUCAGGAUCCUCCUCCCGUCCUUCUCCUCCUUCACGUCCAGGGUGCUGCAGAAGGACGUGGAGCAGGAGUCUCAGAUGCGAGCAGAGAUCCAGGGUAUGAAGCAGGAGCUCUCCACCGUCAACGUGAUGGACGAGUUUGCCAGAUACGCCAGGCUGGAGAGAAAGAUCAACAAGAUGACUGAUAAGCUCAAAACUCACGUGAAAGCACGGACAGCUCAGUUGCCUAAGAUAAAAUGGGUUAUAAGUGUUGCUUUCUACAUAUUGCAAGCUGCCCUGAUGGUCACACUCAUUUGGACAUACUACUCUGUCCCUGUGACCGUGGUGCCGAGUAGAUGGAUAACUCCACUAGAACGCCUGGUAGCAUUUCCCACUGGAGUAGCAGGGCUUGCAGCAAAGGAACUGACGCCUAGAGAACUUACGUGUCCAGUGUCACCGAAAUGUGAAGUAGCAGGGCUACAGUUCAACCCAAGCCUGCCUCAGUAAUCCAAGCCCAAUACCUGGGGUCUGAUACCCCAUUUAUUGAAACACCACCUCUGGUUCCCAAAUUCUGUGACUCCUUUUCAAUUCACACUAUGCUUAGCCCCUCUGCAGCAUUUCCUGCUAUCGGCCAUUCUUUCACUUCUGAAAGAAUUUCUUUUGGGUUUUAAAAUUAGUACAUGUCAUCGUAGAAUGAUUAGA